CAUAAACUCAGAGGAACCCCACAGCAUGCUGAGGGUGUACAACACGACACAGAACAAGGAACACACAGAGCUUAAAUACAACAGGCAGUAACGAGGGAACGUGUCAGGAUUUGGAGGUUUUACUGGAAAGUUCCAUCAGGCACAUGAGUUCCUUGGUCUCCACCCCUGGGUGGAGUCAUAAUCUCUCCUGCAGUCCUGCACACCUGAGGAUGAUUCUGGGUAAUUAGGUUGAGGAUUUAAGCUCCACUCAGACUCUCCUUCACCACCAGUUUGUCAAUGACCUCAUGUUGGUAUUGGCACUAAGGUUUUUCAUGUGCUUGUUACUUGUUGUUUACUUUUGUUUCCUGUGCCUCCUUUGCCAUUGCCUUCAAUCUCAGCUCUCCCCAUAUUAUCUUCGCAUUCUGGAAAAAUACAAAGAACCUCACCUGCCUCCCCUCCAGCCACCACUCACCACCUCGGACACAGCAGAAGUCAGGUCAGCCAGCCUUUGCCACUACUCACUUGGAUUCUCACCACCUCUCCCUCAAAGCCAAGCUCGCCCCGACUAUCAACACACCUGCUCCGUCCCUGUUGCAACCUGCCAAUUCCCCAUUCACCCCCCCACUGACCCAUGGUCGCAUCAUUAGUAACACUUUGCAACGAAUUCACCUUUUGACUAAUUAAUAAAACACUAUAAAACGUAUGAGCCGUCUCUGUUGUGGUUCUCUACGUUUGAGUCCAGUUUAGCUAUGGGUCUGUGGCCACGGUGACAGAAUGGGGAAGCGGGAGGGAACACAGCUGGGCCUAAUCAGAAAUAACGAGACCGAGGGGAAGCAAAACUGAAUACAGACGGUCAAAGUAAAACAGGAAACAUGAGACGAUUCACAAAGACGCAGACAUUGAGACCUGGAAACAGAGGAAACACGAAGCACAGAUAUAAAAAAGUAACCACAUGUGGAACACAGAAGGUACAGAAAACUGAAACUAGAAGCUAGAAAAAACAAAUUUAACAUGAACAGAAAACCACCAAGAGAACUCAAAACCAUGAA